rnacentral:misc_RNA from 1 species
GGAAGGAUCAUUACUGAAUUCCGAGGAGCAUGCCUGUUUGAGCGUCAUCCUGGGAUUGUGGAGGAUGCAAUGCUGUCCCAACUGGGGGCCUCCUUUGCUCCUCUGAAAUGGACUGCCGUUACGACUGCGGUCAGCGAACUACCACCCAUACGCCUGUGCGCGGCAUCCAUACUUACUUCUUGGAGGUCCUCGGUGGCAACCGGUUGGCCGGGAGGGCACAGGGGCCCCCGCAGAUCUUUACUGCUGUGCCUCGCCUGAAUUAUCGCCGAGGUCUGGUCGUGGACUGUGGAAAGGGUGCCCGUCUGCCAUCGGAAUACGGGGAGGGAUGAGGUGGGGAAUUGCCUGGGUGGCAACCGUUGGCUGCAUGCUGGCGGAGGAGACAGGUGCGUGCUUCAUGGAUUUGGGGUAUGCAUUGUUGGCUUCUCCAAAGGCAUUGCCGUAACGGGGCUGCGGUCAUGAUGAACCUGGCGCCGAUAUGAUACACUCUUCUUACCUGCAUCUGGUCCGUGCGAGCCGCAGUCCAACAAUUUGACCUCAAAUCAUGCGUGUCCCAUGCGUGCACCUUCUUGUAGUAGACCAUUCAGUGUGGUCUGCCAUCAGAAUUCGAUGUGAAUCUCGGAUGCUGUUGUGGCAGGCCUUUGGGCUCCUACGUCUUCUUUUUUCACCACACAAAACCUGUCAUGGUAUGGUGUUGAACACAUAUAAUAUAACUUUCAACAACGGAUCUCUUGGCUCUCGCAUCGAUGAAGAACGCAGCGAAAUGCGAUAAGUAAUGUGAAUUGCAGAAUUCAGUGAAUCAUCGAAUCUUUGAACGCACCUUGCGCUCCCCGGCAUUCCGAGGAGCAUGCCUGUUUGAGCGUCGUUGAAUUCUCAGAACCCUGCCCAGGAUGUGGAUUGUGGAGGAUGCAAUGCUGCCCCCAAUCGGGGGCAUCCUUUGCUCCUCUGAAAUGGACCACCACCAACACGAUACGAUACGCACUCUGCACCUAAUGGGUGCUAUCUGCUCCUUCUUGGCCGGUGGGCGGGGGUACCACAUGGGUUUUUAACGCCUGCGGUGGGCCCUGUUAGCUGCCGGUCAGGGGGAGUAUGGUGGGGACAGCCUCCAAAUAAAUGCAUUGUCGUAACGUAACGUUGCGGCUGCGGUAGUGCGCCCGGUGCCGGUAUGAUACACUCUUCUUACUUGCGUCUGGUCCGUGCGAGCCGCGUCCAACAAUUUGACCUCAAAUCAGGCAGGACUACCCGCUGAACUUAAGCAUAUCAAUAAGCGGAGGAAAAGAAACUAACAAGGAUUCCCCUAGUAACUGCGAGUGAAGCGGGAAGAGCUCAAAUUUAAAAUCUGGCGGCCUGUGGCCGUCCGAGUUGUAAGCUAGAGAAGCGCCGUCCGCGCUUGGGCCAUGUACAAGUCUCCUGGAACGGAGCGUCGUGGAGGGUGAGAACCCCGUCUGUGACAUGGACCUCCCAGGGCACCGCGAUCGCGCCCUCAAAGAGUCGAGUUGUUUGGGAAUGCAGCUCCAAAUGGGUGGUAAACUCCAUCUAAAGCUAAACAUUGGCGAGAGACCGAUAGCGAACGAGUACCGUGAGGGAAAGAUGAAAAGAACUUUGGAAAGAGAGUUAAACAGUACGUGAAAUUGUUGAAAGGGAAACGCUUGAAGUCAGUCGCGUCGGCCUGGGAUCAGCCCCGCAAGCGCGAGGCGCACUCCCUGGUCGACGGGUCAGCACCAGUCUCGACCGUUGGAGAAGGGUCGGGGGAAUGUGGCAUCUUCGGAUGUGCUUAUAGCCCCCGAUCGCAUGCAUCGGUCGGGAUUGAGGAACUCGGCGCGCCGCAAGGCCGGGUCUCAGACCACGUCCGCGCCCAGGAUGCUGGCACAAUGGCUUUAAUCGACCCGUCUUGAAACACGGACCAAGGAGUCUAACAUGCCUGCGAGUGUUUGGGUGGAAAACCCAUGCGCGCAAUGAAGGUGAAGGUUGAGAUCCCCCCCGUGGGGAGCAUCGACGCCCGGACCAGACCUGCUGCGACGGAUCCGCGGUGGAGCAUGCAUGUUGGGACCCGAAAGAUGGUGAACUAUGCCUGAAUAGGGCGAAGCCAGAGGAAACUCUGGUGGAGGCUCGUAGCGAUUCUGACGUGCAAAUCGAUCGUCGAAUUUGGGUAUAGGGGCGAAAGACUAAUCGAACCAUCUAGUAGCUGGUUCCUGC